rnacentral:misc_RNA from 1 species
AACCUAGCACACCUGCGGUGUGUACCUGCGGAAGGAUCAUUAUCGAGUUGCAAAACUCCAACCCUUUGUGAACAUACCUCAGUCGUUGCUUCGGCGGUGGACGGCCUGUUUUUCGGAACGGCCGGAAGCCGCCGGAGGUUCCAAACUCGUAUUUUUUAGUGUAUCUCUGAGCCUGAAAACAAAUAAUCAAAACUUUCAACAAUGGAUCU